GACGAACGCUGGCGGCGUGCUUAACACAUGCAAGUCGAACGAUGAAGGGGAGCUUGCUCCCUGGAUUAGUGGCGAACGGGUGAGUAACACGUGAGCAACCUGCCCCUAACUCUGGGAUAACGCUUCGAAAGGAGUGCUAAUACCGGAUAUGAGCCUGGAAGACAUCUUCUGGGUUGGAAAGUUUUUCGGUUAGGGAUGGGCUCGCGGCCUAUCAGCUUGUUGGUGAGGUAAAGGCUCACCAAGGCGACGACGGGUAUCCGGCCUGAGAGGGCGACCGGACACACUGGGACUGAGACACGGCCCAGACUCCUACGGGAGGCAGCAGUGGGGAAUAUUGCGCAAUGGGCGAAAGCCUGACGCAGCGACGCCGCGUGAGGGAUGAAGGUCUUCGGAUUGUAAACCUCUUUCAGCAGGGACGAAGCGAAAGUGACGGUACCUGAAGAAGAAGCACCGGCUAACUACGUG
rnacentral:rRNA from 1 species